rnacentral:rRNA from 1 species
CCUACGGGUGGCAGCAGGGAGGAAUAUUGGUCAAUGGACGAGAGUCUGAACCAGCCAAGUAGCGUGAAGGAUGACGGCCCUAUGGGUUGUAAACUUCGUUUAUAUGGGAAUAAAACGUUCCACGUGUGGGAUUUUGUAUGUACCAUAUGAAUAAGGAUAGGAUAACUCCGUGCCAGCAGCCGCGGUAAUACGGAGGAGCCGAGCGUUAUCCGGAUUUAUUGGGUUUAAAGGGAGCGUAGGUGGGUUGUUAAGUUCGUUGUGAAAGUUUGCGGCUCAACCGUAAAAUUGCAGUUGAAACUGGCAGUCUUGAGUACCGUAGAGGUGGGCGGAAUUCGUGGUGUAGCGGUGAAAUGCUUAGAUAUCACGAAGAACUCCGAUUGCGAAGGCAGUUCACUGGACUGCAACUGACACUGAGGCUCGAAAGUGUGGGUAUCAAACAGGAUUAGCUACCCGUGUAGUC